rnacentral:rRNA from 1 species
UACGUAGGGUGCGAGCGUUGUCCGGAAUUACUGGGCGUAAAGCGCGCGUAGGCGGUCUGAUCAGCCGGUUGUGAAAGCCCCGGGCUCAACCUGGGAACGGCAUCCGGAACUGUCAGGCUAGAGUGCAGGAGAGGAAGGUAGAAUUCCCGGUGUAGCGGUGAAAUGCGUAGAGAUCGGGAGGAAUACCAGUGGCGAAGGCGGCCUUCUGGACUGACACUGACGCUGAGGUGCGAAAGCGUGGGUAGCAAACAGGAUUAGAUACCCUGGUA